UUUCUUUCUCUCUCCCUCUCUGGAAUUUAAUUUCUUUCUAAACAAAUCAAUUAUGGUAGAAAAUGCUUGAAAACCAGGCAUUGAAGCGUUUUCAUGGCAUAAAAAAAAACAAGUAUGGUGGGAAGCGAAAGGUAAUGAUUAAAGAAAGAACUCUCGAGAUCAUGAAAGCCAUAUAAGAGAGAAUUGUCAGUCCUAAUUGUCCAAAAUAUGCUCCCAUUUCAAAGCCCUAGUUGCUGGUUCAUGCCAAGAUGCAAAUGUUUACGAGCUACAGAUGCAACUACACUUGCUAUGUGGACAGAAUUAUAGAUCAUAUGGAUUGCUGAAGUAAUUACAAUUCUCGUCAAUGAGCUUACCUUGACCUAGAGGAUCAAAGAGGUUCCCGUUUGAGCAUGAAUUUAGCCAUUGAACAAAGACAUGAUUUAACAGGAAAAGAAGACCCCUCACCAGCUCAAUUAUCACCUGCAUUGUCUAUGUUGCUUGAUGUUCUUGUUAAUCUAUCACACGGCCGCUAGGUUUGGUAUCUAGGGGAAGAAGAUGGCUAGGAUUUUUUUUUUUAUUCAAU
rnacentral:lncRNA from 1 species